rnacentral:lncRNA from 1 species
GGUGCCCCCUUAUGAUAAUCUCUAUCAUCUCUUUUGUCGGGAUAAGAUAAGGCUUGUUUUGAACUUAAACUUUUAUCAGAUAAGAGUCCAAGAUCAUCCAAACUCUAUCCUAACCCCCUUGGCCGCCAAUUAUAAAAAGGGGUGGGACUUGGGCAUGUAGAAUCAAUUGAGAUUAGCCUUCCAUCUUGUGUUGCUGCCCCAUCUCCUUGCUUCCAUCUA